UUGCUCAUUUUCCUUCUUUCUCUCUUGCAUCUCUCCCUUUCUCCUUAGUAGCUUACUCUACACGCACUGCCCUCUCUCUUGCCCAAAAUCUCCUCGUCUACAAUCCCCUCUGAAUCUUCGAUCUCCUCAUCUCGGUGAUGCUAUCUCUAAGAAAUCAGAGAGUUUUCUCUCCGAUCCCCCAUCUUCGGUCUACUCCCUUUUUUCUCUUCGCGGCCUGUAGAAGUAUCACUGCCGCGAUCUCCCUCACCGUUGUUCCUAUCGUUGGGGUCAGGAUCAGCCUCGUGCACGUCACCGGAACCGUCGUGCUCUCCUUGAUUUUCACAGUGAUGUGUCCAUCGCUGCAUUUGGAGCCGACCUCAAGAUUUCCGCCACCGUUCCUGAAUCAGCCGCUGCAUUUAUCUGUCGCCGAAGCUCUUCCCUCAGGUCUUAUAUUCUUCUCUAGCGGUCUAGCCUCUUCGAUCUCACAGUAGCAACUGGCAAAAAUGGAAAAGUUGUGCAGUGGCAGCGACGACGAAACGAGGUAGCCUUUGUCGCUUCGGUUCAAUGGGCCGCGGUCUCCCCUCUUCACUCUCAUUCAAUUCACCACUUUGCUGGGUGCGUGGGGUUGCGAUCCUCAUUUGAAGAUGCAGAGAUUUGGUGAUUCACUCCAACUUGAAGCUUGGUGGUGCGGUGCCGUGGUGAUGGAGGGGGAAAACUUUGUGAUGCUUAAAAGCUAUGGAAGCAAAUCAAACGGCUUUGGGAACACCGCUGUUGGUGCCCUGUGUUUAGGAGCUGGCGAAGGAGCAGCCGGGGACCGACGCUGCGACGGCACGUGCGUCCCGAUCAGGAAGAAAGCAGGAGCUACUUGUAAAGGCAAAAUUUGUGUCUUCAAAUAAAGAAAAAAAUAUAAAAAAUAAAUAUUAGUUUUUAUAAUUAUAAAAAGAAAAGAAAACAAAUGAGUACAAUUUUUGUAUAUUUUACAAAGUAAGUGACUCAAUCUUCUUAAAAGUGGAUUCACUUAUUCCAGGUUUCAAGUAGCAUAUUCCUCCUAAAGAAAAUAGUGAAUUCGUUGAAGGAUUAAUUUGACAAUUUGAAAAUGUUGAAUUUUCUUAAUCUUGGAUUAAUUUGAUUAGAUCUAUUGAUUUAAUUGAUAAUAGUAUUUCAAAUGAUCAAUUUGACAAUCUAUAGUAAAAAAAAAAAAAGGUGAAUUUUUUUAAUCUUUGAUUUUGUUUAGUAAGAUCUAUCAAUUUGAAAGGUUGAGAUUGUUGUCAAAUAAGUUGAAGUUGGAUCUUUAGACCAAUUAAUUUCAUGAUUUAUGAAACUUGAAUUUACUUGAUCUUGUAUCUAUUUACCAAUAUAUUUUCAUUUAAUGAAGUUGACAAUGAAGGUGGAUCUAUUUCUAGUCUUGA